rnacentral:rRNA from 1 species
UACGAAGGGGGCUAGCGUUGUUCGGAAUUACUGGGCGUAAAGGGUGCGUAGGCGGUACUUCAAGUCAGGCGUGAAAGCCCCGGGCUCAACCUGGGAACCGCGCUUGAGACUGGAGAACUAGAGUUCGGGAGAGGAUGGUGGAAUUCCCAGUGUAGAGGUGAAAUUCGUAGAUAUUGGGAAGAACACCGAUGGCGAAGGCAGCCAUCUGGACCGACACUGACGCUGAGGCGCGAAAGCGUGGGGAGCAAACAGG